UGCACUUUAGUGAAGACUACAUAGAAAACCUCUAAGGCAUGUGUAAGUCUGAUGUCAGGUGUA
rfam:Chelonia mydas contig248419, whole genome shotgun sequence.